CCGCCUUCGCAUGUCUUCGGCACCUCCGCCAGAACCUCUUCGGCCCCAUGAUUUCAGGGAGUAUGGACCAUGUAUGGACAGAUGUGAUCCUUAACUGUCGUUGUUCUUGGCGUGUUGCUGCCAUUUUACUGGGUAGAAUCUAUGCACGGCCGAGACCUCAGUCUAUCCACUGUACGAGUGUUUAAUGAAUUUACUCUUCUCCAUGGCGCGUCCAUGAGGGCAGAAAUUUCAUGCUUCAAAUCUGCUUGGCGAGAACCUUUUCAGGCCUGGAGAUGUCCUUGUGAACUGGUCAGUGAUUUUCGGAAAGUGGAGCUGCAUUCAAGGUUUGAGAUAUAGUUUAUGUCGACUGGAUGAGUUGUUUGAUCUCUUUGCCCUGUUCUUCGAGAUGGGUUGCGAUGAAAACUCUUGGGGCCAUGAGCAACACUUGAGGCUCCUCUUCAUAAGCACAAAAGCUGCAGCAAGUAGAAAUUGGAGAGUUGAAGAGCUUUGUACAGAACCAGAGAUUAGGAGGAAUGGAAAUAUAAGAAACAAUUCAGGAAGAUUCCCUAGGGAAGCAAAAAUUGUUUCCUGGUCUGUGUAGGUCCAUUUAGGAAAUUAGAUGACUGUUGUAAUAUGAAUUUUACAUCCGUUCCAAGAAAAAGUGAUGUUUCUAUUUACAUCCAUUUUGGUGUGAUAAAUAUUGGUUCUGAAC